AAGACUGUACUUCCAGGGAUCAAUUCUAUAGUAUGUUACUAGAAAAGUUUCUCUGAUUGUGUAGAGUACCAGAAACCAUGAGAAGGAGGCAUACUGUUCCUUCCUCAGUGUGAAGCCAGCUCUCAACAUUGCUUUGCUGCAACUGCUAUUUGCUGUUGAUGGUCAUUCUUGCUUUCUCCUUGAAGAGAGUAACACAGAAGGACCACAGUUUGAGUGAC
ensembl:snoRNA U3 Small nucleolar RNA U3